GUUGGAAGUGAAACCUCAGCGAGCUGUGGGUGGGAUGUCGCGACUCUUCAACUGAAGGCGGCAGCAGGAGCGACAUAAAACGUGGUGCGUGCUGAGAACUGAGCAGACGGCGCCGUGGAUCUGUGCCAUGGACACGGGGACGAGGAGGCGUGCGGUGUGGAUGAGUGUUGUCAUCUGCAUCUUGUCCCGCAUCACGAGUGCUUAUUUACAGGCACCCUCCAGAAGGUAUUUUGUUGCUGUGGGACAGAAAGUCACCUUGACGUGUGACAUAACCACUCCAGGAUGGACACAGUACGACAAUCCCAAUAUCAGAUCUAUCACCUGGUGGCGUGGUGAAGGCGGUAGAGCAACCGAGAUCGAUUUAACAAACUCAGGAGAGGCCAGGAUAACAGUUACUAAGGAUGUUGAUCAACAUAGGGCUUCUAUCCGAAUCGCAAAUGUGCAGCACAGUGACGCUGGGUUUUACAGUUGCCUGGUUGAAAGGGAAUUUGGAACAGAGAGUCUCAUGAUGGAAAUUAUCACAAUGGAAGUUUCAGCCAACCCAUCCCGCUCUGUGACAGAAGGAGAGACUGUCACAUUGACCUGUCUCAUCUCAAAAAUUGUCUAUGGAACAGUUCUGGUUUGGUCUCAUGGUGACACUUACAUUGACAAAGGCAAUCGGCUGACACUGAACAAAGUAAAACGAUCUCAACAGGGAGAAUGGAAAUGUUUUCUACAAUACCAGCAAAACAGUCCCUUUGCCUCGUACAAAUUGGAGUUUAGAUCA